rnacentral:tRNA from 1 species
GAGGGUAUAGCUCAGUGGUAGAGCACAUGCUUAGCAUGCACGAGGUCCUGGGUUCAAUCCCCAGUACCUCCU